rnacentral:rRNA from 1 species
CUCAACCGUCGGCUAUCUGGGGAUACUGGCGGGCUUGAGGCCGGGAGAGGUCAGAGGUACUCCUGGGGUAGGGGUAAAAUCCGAUAAUCCUGGGGGGACCACCAGUGGCGAAGGCGUCUGACUGGAACGGGCCUGACGGUGAGGGACGAAACCCUGGGGAGCGAUCCGGAUUAGAUACCCGGGUAGUCCAGGGCGUAAACGAUGUGGGCUGGGUGUGGGUCAAUCAGAAGGAUUGAUCUGUGCCGAAGCGAAAGCGAUAAGUCCACCGCCUGGGGAGUACGGUCGCAAGGCUGAAACUUAAAGGAAUUGGCGGGGGGGGCACCACAAUGGGUGGAGCCUGCGGUCUAAUUGGAUUCAACGCCGGGAAUCUUACCGGGUGCGACAGCUGGAUGAAGGCCAGGCUGAUGACCUUGCUCAACGAGCUGAGAGGAGGUGCAUGGCCGUCGUCAGUUCGUACUGUGAAGCGUCCUGUUAAGUCAGGCAACGAACGAGAUCCACGCCCACUGUUGCCAGCGCGCCCUCUGGGGUGGCGGGUACACGGUGGGGACCGCUGGUGCUAAACCAGAGGAAGGAAUGGGCAACGGUAGGUCAGUACGCCCCGAAUCUCCCGGGCUACACGCGUGCUACAAUGGUUGGACAAUGGGUAUGACCCUGAAGGGGAAGGAAAUUCCUAAACCCAACCUUAGUUGG